rnacentral:rRNA from 1 species
UAGGGAAUCUUCCGCAAUGGGCGAAAGCCUGACGGAGCAACGCCGCGUGAGUGAUGAAGGUCUUCGGAUCGUAAAACUCUGUUAUUAGGGAAGAACAAAUGUGUAAGUAACUAUGCACGUCUUGACGGUACCUAAUCAGAAAGCCACGGCUAACUACGUGCUAGCAGCCGCGGUAAUACGUAGGUGGCAAGCGUUAUCCGGAAUUAUUGGGCGUAAAGCGCGCGUAGGCGGUUUUUUAAGUCUGAUGUGAAAGCCCACGGCUCAACCGUGGAGGGUCAUUGGAAACUGGAAAACUUGAGUGCAGAAGAGGAGAGUGGAAUUCCAUGUGUAGCGGUGAAAUGCGCAGAGAUAUGGAGGAACACCAGUGGCGAAGGCGACUUUCUGGUCUGUAACUGACGCUGAUGUGCGAAAGCGUGGGGAUCAAACAGG